GAUGCAAUUAUAGGGUUCUCUAUAGCAAUUAGCAAAUUGGCAAUAGAUUAGUGAUUUCAUCGGUCAAAGAAAGGUAAGCUUUAGUUCUUUGACCCUGCUUACAAAGAUCAUAAUAACAUGGGAGAAGUCCUAGGCAUGUGGCCACAUGAGCCUAAUUUGAUCCCCAUGUGAGUGUGCGGCUGUGUUUUCCCCCUUAAAUCAAAGCCAUUAAGGAUAUCUACUGAUCAUAGAAUCUUCUGUUGGCAACUAUGCCCUCCAAGAAAUGUUCGGUUCUUCAAUGCUGCAUCGUGUUACUCCCAGACCUGGGGAUGGUAUUCUUGUCAGUUCGAAAUAUUUGCAAGUGGUAGAUAUCAUGUCCAGUUCUUGAAAAGCCUGCAUUAAGAUUUGAAGGGCUCUUAAUUGUUUAAUCAAGACAGCUAAUCAACAUAGAGUGAAUCCUGUUCAAGAUUUGUAUAAAUCAUGCAAUUACCUUUAUUCUUAGAGCCUAUAAAAUCACUCCUUAAUUUGAUAAUCAGAAGAAUUCAAAGACAUCACAGCAUAGGAUAAAAGCCUAUUAACCUAUAACAACAAACUGAGAAUCUCAUUUAUUCAAGUGGGCUGGUAAUGCUGGCUACAAUCAUCAUGUCGUGCAUUAGCAAUUUCCGGCAUUGUAACAUCAAUUAUGAAUCCAUUUUAGCCCUCUUGACACGUAUUAUUUAUUCUUUUAGGAUGUGACAUUAGUCAUCCCUAAUCCGGAAUCAAUAGUAUAUGUUGGGAGGUCAAGGUUCAAUCCUUGCUUCCCAUCUUGCUACUUAACUGUGACGAAAAAUUUCGUCGACUUUCCCUUCCCUUGUACUAGACUAGAGUAGUAGUUUAUACAAAUAUUAUCGUUGUGACCAAAAAAAACAAAAAAAAAAAGGAACACUGUGCAUCAGGAGAGGAUUCAGAUGCAACUCUUUUUGCAGGCCUCUUACAUCAAUAAUUUCUAGAAUCAACCACAUAACAGGCCAUAGCAAGGAAAAUUGAUGGUUUUGACAGAAUUGUCCAGCGCACGAAAGGCAACUAAUGUUGACAGCAAACUGCAGAUGAACAUGACAAACACCUGUGAGGUUAUACGAGCUUAGGACUUCGAUUCAGUGAAUUUAGUAAUGUACUUGGUUGCAGAUAAGGGACCACUUCUUCAUCAGGCUACUGAAAAUGUACCACUAAUUCACAUUUGCAAUGUACACGGUUUUAAGAGGGACCAAUCGAAUCGAUCCAGUAAAAAGUAAAGAACUCAAAUGUUUUUGGGAAAAUGCAGAGGUGUUUCUGAGAAUGUGAUUGUUUAUGGGAGGGAGGCCAUUUUGCAU
rnacentral:lncRNA from 1 species